GAAAGCCCGAGAGCAGCUGACGCCCAUGAGGUGAGGAAAGUCCCCCCUCCGCAGGUGGAGGCCAACCGUCCAAAGCCGGUAUUCCGAGAGGAAUGGCAAUGAGAAAAGAAAUAAACGCUCCCCGGUAAAAUAUGACUGGAAAACAUGAUGUUUCCGGGGGUGGCGAUGGGAACUUAUCCUGGCCGGAGAAAGUCCAAACAGACCCUGUGACGCCACCGGGAGGGUCAGGUAGGACGAAGGCUAAAGGCCGAUCAGUCGAAUGCUGCAAGCCUGAAAGGGGUAACAGAAGGGGGCUUACUCCGGGCAGUC
rnacentral:RNase_P_RNA from 2 species